rnacentral:rRNA from 1 species
GACGAACGCUGGCGGCGCGCUUAACACAUGCAAGUCGAACGGCAGCGCGGGCUUCGGCCUGGCGGCGAGUGGCGAACGGGUGAGUAAUAUAUCGGAACGUACCCAAGAGUGGGGGAUAACGUAGCGAAAGUUACGCUAAUACCGCAUACGAUCUAAGGAUGAAAGCAGGGGACCGCAAGGCCUUGUGCUCCUGGAGCGGCCGAUAUCUGAUUAGCUAGUUGGGGAGGUAAAGGCUCACCAAGGCAACGAUCAGUAGCUGGUCUGAGAGGACGACCAGCCACACUGGAACUGAGACCCGGUCCAGACUCCUACGGGAGGCAGCAGUGGGGAAUUUUGGACAAUGGGGGCAACCCUGAUCCAGCAAUGCCGCGUGAGUGAAGAAGGCCUUCGGGUUGUAAAGCUCUUUUGUCAGGGAAGAAAAGGGUCUGGCUAAUAUCCAGAUCUGCUGACGGUACCUGAAGAAUAAGCACCGGCUAACUACGUGCCAGCCGCCGCGGUAACAC